AAGUCGUAACAAGGUUUCCGUAGGUGAACCUGCGGAAGGAUCAUUAACACGUAUCCAACGUUAAACCCCCCUGUGAACUUUUAGCGUGCUCUUGUGUCCUGGAGAGGAACAGCAAUCCUGGUAAAUCAGCCCUAGAAAAGUUUUGAUUCAGGACCUCUGUCUAAAAGGAUGCAAUUGAGCGCUCGAGGCAAGUGGCUUGGUUUCCCCAAGCGAUUGGUACGAUUGCUGUAGGCCGAACACCGGCCGGCGACUCGGCCACCGGGCUCACGCCUCCUAAGAACACCAGUAGUUAUCUUAAGGCACCACUCCACUGCAAGUGCGCCGGAGCUGGUGAAAACUGUUAACAAUGGAUAUCUUGGUUCUC
rnacentral:misc_RNA from 1 species